GGCGGCGUAGCUUAGCCUGGUAUAGUGCUGCGCUCAUGACGCAGAGGUCGCGAGUUCAAAUGUGUUCAAGGGGAUUCAACUCCCUUUGGUCAUUGAAAGUCUCGCCGCCGCCA
rnacentral:tRNA from 1 species